GAUGAACGCUGGCGGCGUGCCUAAUACAUGCAAGUCGAGCGAACUUUUGGGAGCUUGCUCCCAAAAGUUAGCGGCGGACGGGUGAGUAACACGUGGGUAACCUGCCUGUAAGACUGGGAUAACUUCGGGAAACCGGAGCUAAUACCGGAUAACAUUGAAGACCACAUGGCCGUCAAUUAAAAGGUUGCUUUUAGCUACCACUUACAGAUGGACCCGCGGCGCAUUAGGUAGUUGGUGAGGUAACGGCUCACCAAGGGGACGAAGCGUAGCCGACCUGAGAGGGUGAUUGGCCACACUGGGACGGAGACACGGCCCAGACUCCUAGGGGAGGCAGCAGUAGGGAUACGUGCGGAAGGGACGAAAGACAGACGGAGAAACGCCGCGGGAGCGAAGAAGGACGUCGGGUCGGAAAGCUCGGUUGUUAGGGAAGAAAAAGUAUCGGUCGAAUAGGGCGGGACAUUGACGGUACCUAACCAGAAAGCCACGGCUAACUACGUG
rnacentral:rRNA from 1 species